GCUUCAUUGGCUCAGUUGGCAGAGCGUCAGUCUCAUAAUCUGAAGGUCGCAAGUUCGAUCCUUGCAUGGAGCA
rfam:Absidia repens strain NRRL 1336 BCR42scaffold_7, whole genome shotgun sequence.